GCCGGGAUGAUGGAAUUGGUAGACAUAGGGGACUUAAAAUCCCCAGACCAUAACGGUCGUGUGGGUUCGAUUCCCACUCUCGGCA
rnacentral:tRNA from 1 species